AAUCAACGCUGGCGGCGUGCCUCAGACAUGCAAGUCGAACGAUUAAAGCUCUCUUCGGAGAGUGUAUAGAGUGGCGCACGGGUGAGUAACACGUAAGUAAUCUACCUUUGAGUGGGGAAUAACAAUCGGAAACGAUUGCUAAUACCGCAUAAUGCAGCGGCAUCGCAAGAUGACAGUUGUUAAAGGAGCAAUCCGCUUAAAGAGGAGCUUGCGGCAGAUUAGCUAGUUGGUAAGGUAAUGGCUUACCAAGGCUACGAUCUGUAUCCGGUCUAAGAGGACGGUCGGACACACUGACACUGAAUAACGGGUCAGACUCCUACGGAGGCAGCAGUCGGGAAUUUUGGGCAAUGGGCGAAAGCCUGACCCAGCAACGCCGCGUGAAGGAUGAAGUAUUUC
rnacentral:rRNA from 1 species